ACCAAAAUUUUUUUGUUGCAAAUAAGUAAUUUUUUGCGACCAAAUUACAAUUUUUGUCGCCAAAAAUCUGGGCGGGAUAAUAAAAUCUGGGCGGAAGCUGUUUGAUCUUUCAGCGACCAACAUAAUUUGGUCGCUGAUACCAAAACGACGUCGUUUUGGUAUCUAAAUUCGCACACAGCCAUUAGCCGACCAACAGGUUGGUAGGGGAUAAUUUACUAAUUCAAACACAUCUAAAUCAGAAAUACGCGCCUCUUUCACACCCCUCAGUCGAAUUUGAUCAAAGCUCAGUUGCGCCAAUCACCUCACCUUACCGUCGACCUUGCCGUCCGCCGUCGUCGUCUCUCCACCGUCUGCGCCUCCGUCCAUCUUCGCCAUUUCUAUUUCGUCUUCUCCAUUUCUGAUUCAUCUAGACCAAAUAUGAUUACCCUUAUGGGAUUCAUGUUCUUGGUCAUAUCUACAUUGCAGAGCUAUGUGAGUUAUUUUCCUUCUCUUACUAUGCAUUUGCUUCUCUGUACUGCAUUUUAAAGUUUAUUGAUUAAUGACAUCUUUAUCAUGGUUUGCAUACUUCUUUUCAUAUUUUUCUCCUUCUCUCUAGUUUUGUUGUCCUUUUUUUUCCCCUUUCUUGAUACGUGCCACUUUGUUUGAUGAGAACAUCAUAAUAUUAAUUCAAAUCUAUUGUAUUGCAAACAUGUUGUUUCUCUUAAUCGUAAGUUUUCAGCGGUUUG